rnacentral:lncRNA from 1 species
NNNNNNNNNNNNNNNNNNNNNNNNNNNNNNCGGGGGUAAGAACACCUCUUUGUUCUUACUGUGGAAAAUUACAGCAAAAUGGAGUCUGGAGUCACAUGGGCAAGUUCCUGCAUACUUUGCUGAGUUACAAGGCUUAUCUGCCUUCUCUCAGUGGGUCCAUUGUAUAGCUGAUGGUCCUUAAUGGGCCAUCAAGCAGGCUCAGCAGAGCUAACACCAGUUUGUCUGGGAUGUCACCCAGCAGCAUAGCAUAAAUUUGAAAUACAGACAGUAUAGAGCCAAUAUUCAUAACUUCAACUACAAAAGUAAUACACACAUAUAGACAGCAUAAUCAUAACCAGUAAACCAUAAUCUUGUCUUAGACACCCCAUUUGACCCCCUUUAUACAAGAUUUGCGUGCCACUACAGGACCUCGGUUGCAACAAUGAUCUAUAUGGUCCCAGAUUAUAUCAAUAACGUCACAGCAUCUUCCUCAUCUACCCCAGAUGAGGCAGUGGCGGGCACGUCGAGCACAGGUCCACCCCCGAUAGAUCUCCGGGCACACCAGGACCUAUUACGUAGGGUGGCGCGUAAUAUGGACCUACAAGCAGAGGAGAUAGUGGAGGUGCAGGACCCCAUUGUAAACAUCCUCUCUGCAGAUGCCCCAUCCAGAGUGGCGUUGCCCCUGAUCCGUACGAUCCAGGCUAACGCCAAUAUGAUAUGGCAAACUCCUGCCUCUAUUCCACCCACUGCCAGAGGGGUGGAAAGAAAAUACUUUGUCCCCUCAAAGGAUUAUGAGUACUUGUAUACUCAUCCCCAGCCGUGUUCACUGGUGGUGUCAUCAGUGAAUGCAAGGGAGCGCCACGGUCAACAGGCCGCAGCGCCCAAAUCGAAGGAAGCUAAGCGCCUCGAUUUGUUUGGGCGUAAGGUUUACUCAGCCGGAGGGUUACAACUCAGAGCGGCUAACCAGCAGGCGCUCCUGAGCCACUAUAACUUUAAUUCCUGGAACUCUAUGGGGAAGUUCAAGGAAUUGGUCCCCCAAGACUCCAGGGAAGAGUUUGGGGCCUUGGUGGAGGAGGGUAAGAAGGUGGCACGGACCUCCUUACAGGCCUCCUUGGACAUAGCAGACUCGGCUGCGAGAACCCUGGCCUCAGGUAUCGCUAUGCGGAGGAUCUCCUGGCUCCAGGUUUCGGGUUUGCCUCCGGAACUGCAGCAAACCCUGCAGGAUUUGCCCUUUGAGGGACACGGAUUGUUUUCAGAUAAGACGGACUCUCGUCUGCAGAGCCUCAAGGACUCCAGAACAAUCAUGCGCUCCCUGGGGAUGCAUGUUGCGGGUCCCCAGCGCAGGCCAUUUAGGCCCCAGCCUCA